rnacentral:misc_RNA from 2 species
AAUUCUCAACCUAACAAGUUCUUAACGGGGCUUGCUUAGGCUUGGACUUGGAGGCUUGUCGGCUCUUAGCAGUCGGCUCCUCUCAAAUGCAUUAGCUUGGUUCCUUGCGGAUCGGCUCACGGUGUGAUAAUUAUCUGCGCCGCGACCGUUGAAGCGUUUAAUGGCCAGCUUCUAAUCGUCUCUUGCGAGACAGCUUUCAUCGAA